rnacentral:rRNA from 1 species
CCUACGGGUGGCAGCAGUGGGGAAUAUUGGGCAAUGGGCGCAAGCCUGACCCAGCAAUGCCGCGUGAAGGAAGAAGGCUUUCGGGUUGUAAACUUCUAUGACAGGGGAAGAGCAGAAGACGGUACCCUGACAACAAGCCCCGGCUAACUACGUGCCAGCAGCCGCGGUAAUGCGUAGGUGGCAAGCGUUGUCCGGAUUUACUGGGUGUAAAGGGCGUGUAGCCGGGGAGGCAAGUCAGAUGUUAAAUCGGGGGGCUCAACCUCCGAAUUGCAUUUGAAACUGUUUUUCUUGAGUACUGGAGAGGCAGACGGAAUUCCUUGUGUAGCGGUGAAAUGCGUAGAUAUAAGGAGGAACACCAGUGGCGAAGGCGGUCUGCUGGACAGCAACUGACGGUGAGGCGCGAAAGCGUGGGGAGCAAACAGGAUUAGAUACCCGGGUAGUC